UAACAUUCUGAAAGGAAGAGGAAAAAACUCAGAAUUUCACUUAAAUCUACAAACGACGCUGCUUCCUUCUCCCCUGCUUUGAAAACGGCAUGGUUCCGACACAUUCGGGAGUGGAAGAGCAGCCUCUGCAGUGACCUGGGGGCCCCAAGCCCGUGGAGGAGGCUCUGCUCACACCACGGGCAACAGUCUCAGAGGCUCAACAGAACUUGUCUCAAAUGGCUUGGAAGACGUUGUGGCAAGAGGAGACCGAGUUUUCUUACAGGCUGAUGGUCUUCUCAGCCAGGAACGCCAUGACCCCACAUUUUCAGGGUUGGAGGAAAAGUAUUCGCACGUGAUGUGAGGAUGUGUGGAUGAGAAAGACCCAAGAGGACCAACCUGGAUGGGCUUUCAGAGGCACUAGGGGUGUCUCUCCUGAUAGGUGGGGGCUGAGACGCCUGGAACCACCCCGCUGACCUCCCCGCCCCCACCCCAUCACUGAGGCUGGCAAAUGCUGAGAAUGUUCUAAGCUGAAGAGUGAAAGCUGGCAAUGGAGACUUUGCAGCUGAAAACGCUCCCUAAAAUGUCCAUCUUCAGACUGUUUUAGUGAUGAUUAUACCCCUUGGGUGGAACAGUUAUUCUUCCAUUGCAGAGUGACUAUCUCAAUGUUCUUAUUAAAUUUUAAUCAUUUUUCAAA